rnacentral:rRNA from 1 species
GUACACUCCUGCGGGAGGCAGCAGUGGGGAAUAUUGGACAAUGGGCGCAAGCCUGAUCCAGCCAUGCCGCGUGAGUGAUGAAGGCCCUAGGGUUGUAAAGCUCUUUCACCGGUGAAGAUAAUGACGGUAACCGGAGAAGAAGCCCCGGCUAACUUCGUGCCAGCAGCCGCGGUAAUACGAAGGGGGCUAGCGUUGUUCGGAUUUACUGGGCGUAAAGCGCACGUAGGCGGACUAUUAAGUCAGGGGUGAAAUCCCGGGGCUCAACCCCGGAACUGCCUUUGAUACUGGUAGUCUUGAGUUCGAGAGAGGUGAGUGGAAUUCCGAGUGUAGAGGUGAAAUUCGUAGAUAUUCGGAGGAACACCAGUGGCGAAGGCGGCUCACUGGCUCGAUACUGACGCUGAGGUGCGAAAGCGUGGGGAGCAAACAGGAUUAGAAACCCCGGUAGUCCC